AAACGGCACGGCAGCGGCGCUGCCAUCUUUGUAUUUAGCGUUUCGGCUUGGCGCCUUUCCUGUGUUGGUUAUUCACUGUCUGUAGUGGUCAUAGUGUUACACGUUUCAAAAUGGCUGGCGGUAAAGCGGGUAAAGAUUCUGGUAAGGCUAAGGCCAAAGCAGUAUCCAGAUCGGCGAGAGCUGGACUUCAGUUUCCCGUGGGAAGGAUUCACAGACAUCUCAAAAAUAGGACUACGAGUCAUGGACGUGUUGGAGCAACAGCAGCAGUGUAUUCUGCAGCUAUUCUUGAAUAUCUUACAGCCGAGGUUCUGGAGUUGGCGGGAAAUGCAUCUAAAGAUCUUAAGGUGAAGCGUAUCACACCGCGUCAUUUGCAGCUGGCCAUCCGAGGAGACGAGGAACUUGACAGUUUGAUAAAGGCCACAAUCGCUGGUGGCGGUGUCAUCCCUCACAUACACAAAUCGCUGAUUGGCAAGAAAGGCGGUCCUGGCGCACCCGUUUAAAAAUAGGUCAGUGUCUCCUAAAGAUUAAUACAUAACUUCACGCCUGUCUCCCAUGGGGGUUAACUACAAUACCACCUUGCUGCAUUUGACUCCGGACAUGUUUUCUAUGAAACUCAGCUGAUUGACAAAUUGUUUCAUAAAUGUUAGUGACAUUAACAGUGGAGUGUUUCCAGGGAACUGUUGUGUCCGGACUAAAUCGUUUAGUAGUUUAUAAGUACUAGAAAUAUUUUAGUGUUAAGAAGAUUUAAUAUGAUUGUUUGUGGGACAUGAUAUUUUUCUAACAUGAUUGUUUGAUUGAUGAACAACUUAUUAAAAUUAUUUGCUAUGUACCAGUUAAACCAGAUGUCUGCUAUUGUCUCAGAAGCUGGUGCAUCUUGAUUUUUAGUUAACAUUUUAGCAAGUUCUUUAUGAAUGUAAAUGACGAAUUGUAAUUUGGUAUGAAAGAAGUGUUACAAGUUGUACGAAAUGUAUUUUGAUCUUUGAAAUAUAUUGACAAAACACCUGU